AACCCNNAUGCAGCAACGCCGCGUGAGUGAAGAAGGUUUUCGGAUCGUAAAGCUCUGUCAUCCCGGACGAUAAUGACGGUACCGGAAGAGGAAGCCACGGCUAACUACGUGCCAGCAGCCGCGGUAAUACGUAGGUGGCNAGUGUUGUCCGGAAUUACUGGGCGUAAAGGGUGUGCAGGCGGAUAUUUAAGUGAGAUGUGAAAGACNNGGNCUUAACCCUGGNAGUGCAUUUCAAACUGGAUAUCUAG
rnacentral:rRNA from 1 species